rnacentral:rRNA from 1 species
GACGAACGCUGGCGGCGUGCUUAACACAUGCAAGUCGAACGGAAAGGCCCUGCUUUUGUGGGGUGCUCGAGUGGCGAACGGGUGAGUAACACGUGAGUAACCUGCCCUUGACUUUGGUAUAACUUCAGGAAACUGGGGCUAAUACCGUAUAGGAGCUCCUGCUGCAUGGUGGGGGUUGGAACGUUUCGGCGGUUGGGGAUGGACUCGCGGCUUAUCAGCUUGUUGGUGGGGUAGUGGCUUACCAAGGCUUUGACGGGUAGCCGGCCUGAGAGGGUGACCGGCCACAUUGGGACUGAGAUACGGCCCAGACUCCUACGGGAGGCAGCAGUGGGGAAUAUUGCACAAUGGGCGGAAGCCUGAUGCAGCAACGCCGCGUGCGGGAUGACGGCCUUCGGGUUGUAAACCGCUUUCGCCUGUGACGAAGCGUGAGUGACGGUAAUGGGUAAAGAAGCACCGGCUAACUACGUG